AACGAACGCUGGCGGCGCGCCUAAUACAUGCAAGUCGAGCGAGAAGACGUAGCAAUACGUUUGUAAAGCGGCGAACGGGUGAGGAAUACAUGGGUAACCUACCCUCGAGUGGGGAAUAACUAGCCGAAAGGUUAGCUAAUACCGCGUACGCUCCUUGGACUUCGGUUCAGGGAGGAAAGCGAUACCGUGGGUAUCGCGCUCUUGGAUGGGCUCAUGUCCUAUCAGCUUGUUGGUGAGGUAACGGCUCACCAAGGCUUCGACGGGUAGCUGGUCUGAGAGGACGAUCAGCCACACUGGCACUGCGACACGGGCCAGACUCCUACGGGAGGCAGCAGUAAGGAAUAUUGCGCAAUGGGCGAAAGCCUGACGCAGCGACGCCGCGUGGGGGAGU
rnacentral:rRNA from 1 species